ACCGUGAGGGAAAGCUGAAAAGCACACCGGAAGGGGAGUGAAAGAGAUACAGAAACCGUGUGCCUACAACAAGUCAAAGCUCGUAAUGAGAGAUGGCGUGCCUGUGAGAGAAUGAACCGGCGAAUUACGAUUGCAUGCGAGGAUAAGUCGAAGAGACGGAGCCGCAGCGAAAGCGAGUCUGAAUAGGGCGAAUUAGUAUGUAGUCGUAGACCCGAAACCAGGUGAUCUACCCUUGGUCAGGUUGAAGUUCAGGUAACACUGAAUGGAGGACCGAAACGACUUACGUUGAAAAGUGAGCGAAUGAACGGAGGGUAACGGAGAAAUUCCAAUCGAACCUGGAGAUAGCUGGUUCUCUCCGAAAUAGCUUUAGGGCUAGCCUCAAGUGAUGAUUAUUGGAGGUAGAGCACUGUUUGGACGAGGGGCCCCUCUCGGGUUACCGAAUUCAGACAAACUCCGAAUGCCAAUUAAUUUAACUUGGGAGUCAGAACAUGGGUGAUAAGGUCCGUGUUCGAAAGGGAAACAGCCCAGACC
rnacentral:rRNA from 1 species